rnacentral:rRNA from 1 species
GACGUAGGGUGCAAGCGUUGUCCGGAUUUACUGGGCGUAAAGCGUGCGUAGACGGUUGCGUAAGUCAGAUGUGAAAGCCCCGGGCUCAACCUGGGAAUUGCAUUUGAGACUGCGUAGCUAGGGUGCGGAAGAGGGAAGCGGAAUUUCCGGUGUAGCGGUGAAAUGCGUAGAUAUCGGAAGGAACACCAGUGGCGAAAGCGGCUUCCUGGUCCAGCACCGACGUUCAGGCACGAAAGCGUGGGGAGCAAACAGG